rnacentral:rRNA from 1 species
CAGUCGCCGCGGUAAUACAGAGGCCUCAAGCGUUGUUCGGAUUCAUUGGGCGUAAAGGGUGCGUAGGUGGCUUGGUAAGUUGAAGGUGAAAUCUCGGGGCUUAACCCCGAAACUGCCUUCAAUACUGCUAGGCUCGAGGACUGUAGAGGAGAAUGGAAUUCACGGUGUAGCAGUGAAAUGCGUAGAUAUCGUGAGGAAGACCAGUGGCGAAGGCGGUUCUCUGGCAAUGUUCUGACGCUGAGGAGCGAAAGUGUGGGGAGCGAACAGGAUUAGAUACCCCUGUAGUCCCUGUCUCUUAUAC